rnacentral:tRNA from 1 species
GCAUCUAUAGCUCAGAUGGAUAGAGCACAAGUUUCCUAAACUUGGUGUCAGGAGUUCGAAUCUCUUUAGGUGCGCCA